GAUGAACGCUGGCGGCGUGCCUAAUACAUGCAAGUCGAGCGAACGGACGAGAAGCUUGCUUCUCUGAUGUUAGCGGCGGACGGGUGAGUAACACGUGGAUAACCUACCUAUAAGACUGGGAUAACUUCGGGAAACCGGAGCUAAUACCGGAUAAUAUUUUGAACCGCAUGGUUCAAAAGUGAAAGACGGUCUUGCUGUCACUUAUAGAUGGAUCCGCGCUGCAUUAGCUAGUUGGUAAGGUAACGGCUUACCAAGGCAACGAUGCAUAGCCGGCCUGAGAGGGUGGCCGGCCACACUGGAACUGAGACACGGUCCAGACUCCUACGGGAGGCAGCAGUAGGGAGUCUGCCGCAAUGGGCGAAAGCCUGACGGAGCAACGCCGCGGGAGUGAUGAAGGUCUUCGGAUCGUAAAACUCUGUGAGUAGGGAAGAACAUAUGUGUAAGUAACUGUGCACAUCUUGACGGUACCUAAUCAGAAAGCCACGGCUAACUACGUG
rnacentral:rRNA from 1 species